rnacentral:misc_RNA from 1 species
CCAGAGCACCGACGCACACACAUGGCCAGACCCACAGACUUCUGCAGCUCCUUGUUUUUUGUUUUUCAGGGAGGCGCCUCUACACCAGCAUAGGCGCACACGUUCUCCACACACACGCACAAUGGAAAACAGAAAACGAAGCUGGACUCGAAAAGCGUUCACACACACACACACACAGGCACACGUGCAUCAAUGACGGUAUUGAACUCGUUCAUAUCGAUGAGUGCGCGCCGUCAACUCUCUUCCUCCCCACCCCUCUCGUCCUUCCCUUGUGUCGGCGUCGGGGAGCAGUUGAGCCUCUCGGGUGAUGGUUGAUAGUCGAGGGGAGCACAACGCAUCAUCUGCAUUAUCACCGCUAUAUGUAGAUAUGAAUAUAAUAUAGUUAUCGAUUUCUAUAGAUUCCGGAUGCUAUCGUCUUUUCCUCUUUUCGUUGCAGAAAGUGAAGGGUCAGGCUCGUCAGUGUCAGCCUUCCUCGACGAACGGGCACCUACGCACGUGGGGGCCCACUGGCCUGCUUGCGUUUUCGCAUCUGCAGCAGCGGCAUUAAGGGUCGCGAUGUUUAUUGCUCAUGAGAUGCACGCACGUGAGGGGUGCUUGCUUCCCCGAGACUCACACGCAUACAUCCAUGUUCCGGUAGUGCACGUGUUUUCCGUUCCCUCUUGGUCAGGGGCUCUCCUCCCUCUCUCCUCAGGCCGGACCAGGCGAGACUCGAUAGGCCGAAGAGGGUGUGAGAGAGAGCGGCUUCCCACACACGCCCAUGUCGUAAGCAGCCAUGCACAGGCUAAGCAGACACAUAUGAUGUGUGUGCUGAACGCAGCUACUUAUCCGUGGACAGACAUGAACGUGUUGCGCGCGCGUAACUUCCGCCCUCGCAUUCACCCGCGUCGAUUUCCGUUUCGCGGAACAGAGAUGGCAGAGGACUUAUCCAGCUUGGCUUCCAUGCAUACCAUUGCAUGGCACGCGUGUGACAAGUGGUGUAGAAAGUCAAUAUCAUCGCCCAUGCCCGGCUUCUCUCCUGCAAAACUUCCUCUCCUCGGACGCUGCAG